CUUCCCAGACUGUCGAGGACAUUACGAAUUCCAAGAUGGCCUCCAGGUAGCGCUGGUGUAGAUACACUACGAAACUUAAACAGUACGUCUUUUGAUUGGUUUGUCGGCUGGUGACGUCAUGAAGCGGCUGUUCACAGCCUGCUUGAUCAUCCUUCUAAUAAUUAAUGUCUGUGGAUCUCCGGCCCCACAAGGCCAACACGGACAGCCCCAGGCGGGGUCACCUAGUACCCCAGGCCCAGGUGGUGGCAACAUUAAGAAGGGCAAAGGAAGAGGCGACCCCUAUCCCAUUAACCGCCUGUGGAAGAGCAGAACACCACUGGGUAACGCCGAACCGUACAUCGUUCUGGCGCUCCUGAUAGGAUUCGUGACCGUCGUCAUAGGCUGCUGGUUGUCGGACAACUGCUGGUCACCCGAACCAGAACACCUGGUCACAAUUGCCUAGAAUUGGAGGCACUCCGGCUGACAGACCGGACGCGUUGUGACCAUCCAGCCCAGGCCACUUCGCCGUAGCCGCAGCGCCUUCAUAAGCAACAACAGAUCCACACGUGAUGUGUCAGGCAGCGUCGUAGCCAACUUCUGUAAUUGCUGUGGCAGUAGAGGAUAUCCUGGGAUGAUGCUGCAACAGAACUCACCGAACACAGCGCGACGUUGGUGUCAACAUGGUCCA